rfam:Clostridium sp. CAG:762 genomic scaffold, scf106
UAGCUCAGUCGGUAGAGCAGAGGACUGAAAAUCCUUGUGUCGGUGGUUCAAUUCCACCUGAAGCCA